rnacentral:rRNA from 1 species
AUACGAAGGGCCCGAGCGUUGCGCGGAAUCAUUGGGCUUAAAGGGUGCGUAGGCGGACCUGUAAGUACUUUGUGAAAGCCCACGGCUUAACCGUGGAACUGCUUGGUAGACUGCAGGUCUUGAGCUCGCCAGAGGCGGUCGGAACUCUAGGUGGAGCGGUGAAAUGCGUAGAUAUCUAGAGGAACGCCAAAGGUGAAGACAGACCGCUGGGCCGAUGCUGACGCUGAGGCACGAAAGCGUGGGUAGCAAACGGCAUUAGAAACCCCAGUAGUCC